AUGAAGACAAACAGGUGUGGUGGAUGUCUCACCGAUGCGAAGGCGUGUCCGGGGAGCGCAUCGGCGACGUCCUGGAGCACGGCGCCGAGGGGCGCGCUCCGUGCGGCCACGAGCGCGGCGCAGGCGCGUCCAACGGCGGCGAGCGCGGCGGGCUGGUCCUCGGCGGUGACGGAGGGGAGCACGGGGGCCUCGCCCCAGCCGACGGCGCCGCUGGAGAGCUCGACCCGCACGGCGACGUUGGAGACGGCGUCGAGGCGCGAGGAGGCGAUGGUGAAGGGCGCGGCGAGCGGCACGUUGAGCGGGCGGGCCUCGGCCGCCGCCACGUCCACCGAGAAGGUCUCCUUGAGCGCGUCGAAGCCGAACGCCUCCAUUGGCUGCUGCUGCUGCUGCUGCGGGGUCGGUGGGGACGGCGACGGCGACGGCGAGAUGCCGCGGAGGCGGGUGGCUCUCUGGCGGCCGGCGCCGGCGUGGGUGGCUCGAGGGGUGGGGUUGAGGAGGGGCCUCGGGCUGGGAGGCUUCUGGGCGAAGCAGAGAGGGGAUGAGGAGGAUGUGGUGGAGGCGUCCAUGGCCGGCAGCGCUGGGAAGCGGUGGCUCGGACGACGUUGA
rnacentral:rRNA from 1 species